CAGCCGCCGCGGUAAUACGUAGGUGGCAAGCGUUGUCCGGAAUUAUUGGGCGUAAAGGGCUCGCAGGCGGUUUCUUAAGUCCGAUGUGAAAGCCCCUGGCUCAACCGGGGAGGGUCAUUGGAAACUGGGAAACUUGAGUGCAGAAGAGGAGAGUGGAAUUCCACGUGUAGCGGUGAAAUGCGUAGAGAUGUGGAGGAACACCAGGGCGAAGGCGACUCUCUGGUCUGUAACUGACGCUGAGGAGCGAAAGCGUGGGGAGCGAACAGGAUUAGAUACCCCGGUAGUCCCUGUCUCUUAUACA
rnacentral:rRNA from 1 species